CUCUGUUCGGGAGUUUGAAAUGCACGAAAGUACAUAAAAUUAUGGUUUGUGUCUUAGUUUCUGCAAUUCCUCUCGUUCAUGUAAUUCUCGUUCAUGUAAUAAUUAUGAUUUUUAUGUUUUGGGAUAAUUGAGU